rnacentral:rRNA from 1 species
GGAAUCUUCGGGCAAUGGACGAAAGUCUGACCGAGCAACGCCGCGUGAGUGAAGAAGGUUUUCGGAUCGUAAAACUCUGUUGGUAGAGAAGAACGUUGGUGAGAGUGGAAAGCUCAUCAAGUGACGGUAACUACCCAGAAAGGGACGGCUAACUACGUGCCAA